rnacentral:lncRNA from 1 species
AGGAAGGGGAAUUCAACCUCUGCUGGGUCUCCUGUGGGCGUGUUUUGAGCAAUUUUGAUCCUCACCUGUGUAAGAGGCAGACUGGGGCAGGGCUUUGCUCAGGCCUCAGGCAAGCCUUGGGAGGCCUGCGUGAGCAUGCGUGGAUGUGUGCGCCGGUGUGUUUUGGGAGGGGCAGAGGCGCAGCAAUCCUGUUUCAGUCCUCCAGACACUCACAGAUUGCCUCCCUUUCUAAAAUUCCUUUACUUUGUUGUAAGGCAAAGUGAUAGCAAUAAUUAUUUUUGCUUCUUGAGUGCCUACUUGUGCUGGGCAUUAUUUAGCCCUGGAAAGAACCUGUCUUCUCAUUGAAGACACCCACCUACCGAAAUGCAAGAGAAACACAGAUCUCCAAGGAACCAGAGACCUUUCUCUCUCCCUCUGCGAUUUUCAAGAACACUGAUUGAUGACAUUAUCUAUGGGUGAGGAUACCUCUAUUAAGAAAUGCACAUACACAAAACCACUAGGCAAAACAGCUCAUGCCAUCGUGCUGACCCACACUUGUGCAAGCUGCCUGGGGUCCAUCUCAGCAGGAUGGGAAAACACCCUCAGAGCCAAGAGUCUCUUGAAUUGUGAAAGAGGAGGGUUUGCAAAAUCUGUUCUCUCUUACUCACUUGAAGAAUCAUCCGACCGUGGGGAAAGGAAGGAACUUGUCAGUUCCCCAUUUAUUUAUUUUGAAAGAGGUAACAGAGCACUGUGUGUGUGUCUGGGCUUAAGCUUGUUGGUUUUGAGGGAGAAACCUUUUAUUGGGGAAAGAGUCCCAUUCUUCCUCUUUUCAGGGGCCUCCCGUGUGACAGAGCCAGUUCCACAGCUUCGCCUUUAAUGGAGUGAGCAGAUUGCAGGAAGAAUGCGAUGCUGCUCAGUAAAUUUAAUGACUUUAUGAAGAUAAAUGUUUCCCUUCCGAGGCUCCUUCUUGUCAGAAUACAUUUAAUACCGCCAUUCCUUUGAGAACUAAAUUCCUGUAGCACUUUGCAGCAUAUUAACAUGUUUUUCUCACCACAU